CCCGGUGACCAUGGCGGAGGGGCCACACCUCUUCCCAUUCCGAACAGAGCCGUUAAGCCCUCCAGCGCCGAUGGUACUACCUCCAAAGGGUGGGAGAGCAGGUCGUCGCCGGGA
rnacentral:rRNA from 1 species